UAUUUUUGGCACACGGAGGCCGCCCGCCAAGUCUGGUGCCAUUCCGAGUCCCGCGGACGAACUUCGCCCACGCCCCCCACCAAGGCUAUAGCCCACCCCUUUUUUGGCCAUUUUUCCGCUGGGGGGUCUUGGGACCCCGAACUUCGGGGGCUGUUUUUUGGGCGCGGCUGUGCCCGUGGCCUAUUUUUGGCACACGGAGGCCGCCCGCCAAGUCUGGUGCCAUUCCGAGUCCCGCGGACGAACUUCGCCCACGCCCCACACCAAGGCUAUAGCCCACCCGUUUUUUGGCCAUUUUUCUGCUGGGGGGUCUUGGGACCCCGACCUUGGGGGGCUGGUUUUUGGGCGCGGCUGUGCCCGUGGCCUAUUGUUUGCACACGGAGGCCGCCCGCCAAGUCUGGUGCCAUUCCGAGUUCCGCGGACGAACUUCGCCCACGCCCCCCACCAAAGCUAUAGCCCACCCGUUUUUUGGCCAUUUUUCCGCUGGGGGGUCUAGGGACCCCGAACUUCGGGGGCUGUUUUUUGGGCGCGGCUGUGCCCGUGGCCUAUUUUUGGCACACGGAGGCCGCCCGCCAAGUCUGGUGCCAUUCCGAGUCCCGCGGACGAACUUCGCCCACGCCCCCCACCAAGGCUAUAGCCCACCCGUUUUUUGGCCAUUUUUCCGCUGGGGGGUCUUGGGACCCCGACCUUCGGGGGCUUUUUUUUGGGCGCGGCUGUGCCCGUGGCCUAUUUUUGGCACACGGAGGCCGCCCGCCAAGUCUGGUGCCAUUCCGAGUCCCGCGGAUGAACUUCGCCCACGCCCCCCACCAAGGCUAUAGCCCACCCGUCUUUUGGCCAUUUUUCCGCUGGGGGGUCUUGGGACCUCGACCUUCGGGGGCUGGUUUUUGGGCGCGGCUGUGCCCGUGGCCUAUUUUUGGCACACGGAGGCCGCCCGCCAAGUCUGGUGGCAUUCCGAGUCCCGCGGACGAACUUCGCCCACGCCACCCACCAAGGCUAUAGCCCACCCGUUUUUUGGCCAUUUUUCUGCUGGGGGGUCUUGGGACCCCGACCUUGGGGGGCUGGUUUUUGGGCGCGGCUGUGCCCGUGGCCUAUUGUUUGCACACGGAGGCCGCCCGCCAAGUCUGGUGCCAUUCCGAGUCCCGCGGACGAACUUCGCCCUCGCCCCCCACCAAGGCUAUAGCCCACCCGUUUUUUGGCCAUUUUUCCGCUGGGGGGUCUUGGGACCCCGACCUUCGGGGGCUGGUUUUUGGGCGCGGCUGUGCCCGUGGCCUAUUUUUGGCACACGGAGGCCGCCCGCCAAGUCUGGUGCCAUUCCGAGUUCCGCGGACGAACUUCGCCCACGCCCCCCACCAAAGCUAUAGCCCACCCGUUUUUUGGCCAUUUUUCCGCUGGGGGGUCUAGGGACCCCGAACUUCGGGGGCUGUUUUUUGGGCGCGGCUGUGCCCGUGGCCUAUUUUUGGCACACGGAGGCCGCCCGCCAAGUCUGGUGCCAUUCCGAGUCCCGCGGACGAACUUCGCCCACGCCCCCCACCAAGGCUAUAGCCCACCCGUUUUUUGGCCAUUUUUCCGCUGGGGGGUCUUGGGACCCCGACCUUCGGGGGCUUUUUUUUGGGCGCGGCUGUGCCCGUGGCCUAUUUUUUGCACACGGAGGCCGCCCGCCAAGUCUGGUGCCAUUCCGAGUCCCGCGGACGAACUUCGCCCACGCCCCCCACCAAGGCUAUAGCCCACCCGUUUUUUGGCCAUUUUUCCGCUGGGGGGUCUUGGGACCCCGACCUUCGGGGGCUGUUUUUUGGGCGCGGCUGUGCCCGUGGCCUAUUUUUGGCACACGGAGGCCACCCGCCAAGUCUGGUGCCAUUCCGAGUCCCGCGGACGAACUUCGCCCACGUCCCCCACCAAGGCUAUAGCCCACCCGUUUUUUGGCCAUUUUUCUGCUUGGGGGUCUUGGGACCCCGACCUUCGGGGGCUGUUUUUUGGGCGCGGCUGUGCCCGUGGCCUAUUUUUGACACACGGAGGCCGCCCGCCAAGUCUGGUGCCAUUCCGAGUCCCGCGGACGAACUUCGCCCACGCCCCCCACCAAGGCUAUAGCCCACCCGUCUUUUGGCCAUUUUUCCGCUGGGGGGUCUUGGGACCCCGACCUUCGGUUGCUGGUUUUUGGGCGCGGCUGUGCCCGUGGCCUAUUUUUGUUACACGGAGGCCGCCCGCCAAGUCUGGUGCAAUUCCGAGUCCCGCGGACGAACUUCGCCCACGUCCCCCACCAAGGCUAUAGCCCACCCGUUUUUUGGCCAUUUUUCCGCUGGGGGUUCUCGGGACCCCGACCUUCGGGGGCUGUUUUUUGGGUGCGGCUGUGCCCGUGGCCUAUUUUUGGCACACGGAGGCUGCCCGCCAAGUCUAGUGCCAUUCCUAGUCCCGCGGACGAACUUCGCCCACGCCCCCCACCAAGGCUAUAGCCCACCCGUUUUUUGGCCAUUUUUCCGCUGGGGGGUCUUGGGACCCCGACCUUCGGGGGCUGUUUUUUGGGCGCGGCUGUGCCCGUGGCCUAUUUUUGGCACACGGAGGCCGCCCGCCAAGUCUGGUGCCAUUCAGAGUCCCGCGGACAAACUUCGCCCACGCCCCCCACCAAGGCUAUAGCCCACCCGUUUUUUGGCCAUUUUUCUGCUUGGGGGUCUUGGGACCCCGACCUUCGGGGGCUGUUUUUUGGGCGCGGCUGUGCCCGUGGCCUAUUUUUGGCACACGGAGGCCGCCCGCCAAGUCUGGUGCCAUUCCGAGUCCCGCGGACGAACUUCGCCCACGCCCCCCACCAAGGCUAUAUGUCACGGCCCGGAUUGUUCCCACGCUAUGCCGUGCGGCCUUAGGCGCCAAAUUCGCACUCUAUUGGCCCUAAGUCAGCCUUACACCCAAAUCUGUUGCUGGAUUCGAGAAGCGGAAAAAGGAAUCACUCUAACUCACAAAGUAUGGGAGGAAAGAACUUAUAUUGCUCGAUAGAAUGUUUACAAAGCUAUGUGUGCUGGAAUUGUAUAUUGCUUUUUGAUUGAUUUGGCCAAAUGAGGCCUUCUCCGAUUUAUAGGGUACAAAGAAGUAUCUAGAGAGUCUCUAGAGUUACAUAAACACAUUAAUUACAAUGGAAAUAUCUACAUGCUCUACACAAGUCUCCAUGGCUCUAGAAUUCUCCAUGGGCCAGGCCAUGUGGAAGCUUGGGCCAUGACAUUCUCCCCCACCUAUUCCGGAGACGUCCUCGUCGACUCGCUGUGGAAGGCUUUGAUCUUGUCUUGGAACUGCCACAAAUCAUAUGCGGGCUCCCAACUUGUUUCGCUCUCGGGUAGUCCCUUCCAUUUGACAAAGUACUCUUGGCAUGGUGGAAAACUCUUCUUCCAAACCACACGGUCAGCCAAAAUGGCCUCCACUUCUUUGUCAUAGACCCUUGUGUUGCCCAGUGGAGGGCGCUUGGAUUCUCCCCUUUUCGGAUCUUCCGUAUCCCCAUGGAAUGGCUUCAAGGAACUCACGUGGAAGACCGGAUGGAGUUUUCGCCAAGAGGGUAACUCUAACUUGUACGACACAUUGCCGACCCUCUUGAUGAUGGGAAAUGGCCCCUCGUAUUUCCGGAUGAGGCCCUUGUGCAGCGAACGUGUGGACUUGUGCUGGGCUGGAACGAUCUUGACUAGCACCAUGUCCCCCACGUUGAACUCCAAGUGUCUACGCUUGCUAUCUGCCCAUUUCUUCAUCCGCUUGGUUGCUUUGUCGAGGUGCGCCCGUGCUAUGUCUGUUUGCUCAUGCCAUGACUUAGCCACUUUAUAUGCUGCAGGACACCUCCCGGUAUAGCUCGUGAUGAGCGUGUGUGGUGUAAGCGGCUGCUGUCCCAUGAUCACCUCAAAAGGGCUCCUCGAUGUAGCCUCACUCCGCUGCAAGUUGUAGGAAAAUUGGGCCACGUCCAGCAACUUUGCCCAGUCAUGCUGGUUGGCGCUCACAAAAUGCCGUAAGUACAGCUCCAACAAGGCAUUCACCCUCUCCGUUUGCCCAUCGGUUUGCGGAUGAAAGCUCGUAGAAAAGUGCAGCACCGACCCCAUAAGCUUGAACAACUCAGUCCAAAACCUCCCCGUAAACCGGCUGUCGCGGUCGCUAAUGAUGGAUUUCGGAAGUCCCCAAUACUUCACCACGUGCCUAAAGAAAAACUUGGCUGUGUCCUCCGCUGUGCACUCCUUCGGGGCAGGAAUGAAAGUGGCAUAUUUCGAGAAUCUGUCCACCACCACAACAAUAGUCGCAAACCCCUCCGAUUUUGGAAGACAAGUGAUGAAAUCCAUCGAUAUACUCUCCCACGGUCGAUCCGGAGUGGGCAGUGGCUCAAGCAACCCCGCGGGACAUUGUUGCUCUGUUUUGUCUUGUUGGCACACUAAGCACGUCCGCACGAACUGCUCCACUUCAUCCCGCAUCUGAGGCCAAUAGUAUGCCGACUCAAGCAAUGCCCGUGUCCGCCUUUGUCCCGGGUGUCCAGCCCACUUCGUAUCAUGACACUCCUUGAUCAAGUUCCGCCGCAAGUUUCCCCACUUCGGAACAUAGACACGCCGUCCCUUGGUGUAUAAAAGGCCAUCUUCGACCCAAAACCUCUUCGAUUUCCCCUGUUGUACGAGAGAAACCAGCUGCUUGGCCAAGGGAUCAUGCUCCGUCCCCUCCUUGAUGAGUGUAAGAAGCUCUCCUUGUAUCCGACUCAUGGCAGCAAGCUCGACCUUCCGACUCAAGGCGUCCGCUACCAAAUUAGCCUUUCCGGGCUUAUACUCCAGCACGUAGUCGAAUUCGGCCAAGAAAUCUUGCCAUCUCGCUUGCUUGGGACUAAGCUUCUUUUGGCUUUGGAAGUAACUAGUGGCCACGUUGUCCGUCUUCACCACGAACUUGGACCCAAGCAAGUAGUGCCUCCAUGUGCGCAAGCAGUGCACUACUGCCGUCAUCUCCUUCUCUUGUACCGUGUACCGCCGCUCCGUAUCGUUGAGCUUUCGGCUCUCAAAGGCUAUUGGAUGUUCGGCCUGCAUCAACACACCUCCAAUAGCAAAAUCGGAAGCAUCAGUGUGUACCUCAAAUGGUAAGUCAUGGUUUGGCAGCACAAGUACCGGCUCUUCCAUCACGGCCUUCUUGAGGGCAUCGAAGGCUUGCUGGCUCCUUUCCGUCCAUUCCCACUUGGUAGUCUUUUUGAGCAAAUCAGUGAGUGGUGCGGCAAUGGCGGAAUAACCUCUAAUGAACCUCCGAUAAUAGUUGGCAAGUCCUAAGAAAGAGCGCAACUCAGUCACCUUUGUGGGCGGCUCCCAUUCGGCAAUGGCUCGGACCUUGGCCUUGUCCAUGAGCAGCGUCCCAUCUCUGAUUUUAUGGCCAAGAAAAUCCACCUCCAGUUUUGCGAACGAACACUUCUCCCUCUUCACAUACAGCUCAUUUUCCCGCAACACCCCGAACACGACCCACAAGUGCUCAGCAUGUUCCGCCAAGGUGUUGCUAUAGACCACGAUGUCAUCAAGAUACACCACUACAAACUGAUCAAGGUAUGGCUGGAAUAUGCGGUUCAUGAGCGUGCAAAAUGUGGCUGGAGCAUUGGUGAGGCCGAAAGGCAUUACCUUGAACUCGUACGCUCCAUACCUCGUCACACAAGCGGUCUUCGGCUCAUCUCCCUCCGCAAUCCGUACUUGGUAAUAUCCCGAUCUAAGGUCCAGCUUGGAGAAAUAUUUGGCCCGUCCAAGUUGAUCGAACAAGUCCGCAAUCAGUGGGAUGGGGUAUUUGUUCUUCACGGUCACCUUGUUAAGAGCCCGGUAGUCGAUACAUAGUCGAAGUGAGCCAUCAUGCUUCCGCUGGAACAGCACCGGUGCUCCGUAUGGUGCUUUCGAGGGCUGGAUGUAUCCUGCGUCCAGCAGCUCCUUAAUUUGCCUCCGCAACUCCUCUAGCUCCGGUGGAGACAUGCGGUAAGGUGCUCGUGCAGGCGGUUUGGCACCCGGCUCCAGCUCAAUCUUGGAUGUUGGUGGCCUCGAAGUACCUCUCCAUGGACCACAAGAAGUUCUCGAUCUCCUGGGCAUCCCUCAAGGACUUGGCCUACCGCCUCCGGUAUGGGCUCCAUGGCCAUAGUGUCCUUCCCGUCACCAACCUCAUGAAUGGCCACCGCCUUCUUGCAAAGCGCCCAAUCCAUCUUAGUCUCUUCAAGGCCCGUGUGAAGCUCCUCCACUUGAGCCCUGAGCGCCUCAAUAGAGUUCAGAACCACCGCUUGGAACUCCUCAAGGCUUUGGCGUUGCGCCACCACAUCUUGGCUUAGAUCGCCCAUCCGCUCACCAAGAUCAUCCACCUCCUCCAUCUUUUGCUCAAAGAUCUCGAGGCGUUCUUUAAUCUCAGCGACAGAAAUCUCCCCACAGACAAUCCGAUUCUCCAUGGCGUUGAGCAAGUCCACUGACUUCUCCUUGCUGUUUUUCCCCUUCUUCGUAUUGGGGUUAGGCUCCCUUCCCCUUUGGUCAUCAUGAGUGCUCUCUGACAUCCUUCCUUUCGAACAACGCAACUACCCACGAGUGUAGACGGCUCUGAUACCAACUGUCACGGCCCGGAUUGUUCCCACGCUAUGCCGUGCGGCCUUAGGCGCCAAAUUCGCACUCUAUUGGCCCUAAGUCAGCCUUACACCCAAAUCUGUUGCUGGAUUCGAGAAGCGGAAAAAGGAAUCACUCUAACUCACAAAGUAUGGGAGGAAAGAACUUAUAUUGCUCGAUAGAAUGCUUACAAAGCUAUGUGUGCUGGAAUUGUAUAUUGCUUUUUGAUUGAUUUGGCCAAAUGAGGCCUUCUCCUAUUUAUAGGGUACAAAGAAGUAUCUAGAGAGUCUCUAGAGUUACAUAAACACAUUAAUUACAAUGGAAAUAUCUACAUGCUCUACACAAGUCUCCAUGGCUCUAGAAUUCUCCAUGGGCCAGGCCAUGUGGAAGCUUGGGCCAUGACAUAUAGCCCACCUGUUUUUUGGCCAUUUUUCCGUUGGGGGGUCUUGGGACCCCGACCUUCGGGGGCUGGUUUUUGGGCGCGGCUGUGCCCGUGGCCUAUUUUUGGCACACGGAGGCCGCCCGCCAAGUCUGGUGCCAUUCCGAGUCCCGCGGACGAACUUCGCCCACGCCCCCCACCAAGGCUAUAGCCCACCCGUUUUUUGGCCAUUUUUCCGCUGGGGGGUCUUGGGACCCCGACCUUCGGGGGCUUUUUUUUUGGCGCGGCUGUGCCCGUGGCCUAUUUUUGGCACACCGAGUCCGCCCGCCAAGUCUGGUGCCAUACCGAGUCCCGCGGACGAACUUCGCCCACGCCCCCCACCAAGGCUAUAGCCCACCCGUUUUUUGGCCAUUUUUCCGCUGGGGGGUCUUGGGACCCCGACCUUCGGGGGCUGUUUUUUGGGCGCGGCUGUGCCCGUAGCCUAUUGUUGGCACACGGAGGCCGCCCGCCAAGUCUGGUGCCAUUCCGAGUCCCGCGGACGAACUUCGCCCACGCCCCCCACCAAGGCUAUAGCCCACCCGUUUUUUGGCCAUUUUUCCACUGGGGGGUCUUGGGGCCCCGACCUUCGGGGGCUGUUUUUUUGGCGCGGCUGUGCCCGUGGCCUAUUUUUGGCACACGGAGGCCGCCCGCCAAGUCUGGUGCCAUUCCGAGUCCCGCGGACGAACUUCGCCCACGCCCCCCACCAAGGCUAUAGCCCUCCCGUUUUUUGGCCAUUUUUCCGCUGGGGGGUCUUGGGACCCCGACCUUCGGGGGCUG
rnacentral:lncRNA from 1 species